rnacentral:rRNA from 1 species
AGCGAACGCUGGCGGCAGGCCUAACACAUGCAAGUCGAACGAACUCUUCGGAGUUAGUUGCGGACGUGUGAGUAACACGUGGGAACUUGCCCUUAGGUUCGGUAUAACUCAGGGAAACUUGUGCUAAUACCGCAUGUGCCCUUCGGGGGUAAGAUUUAUUGCCUUUAGAGCGGCCCGCGUCAGAUUCGCUAGUUGGUGAUGUAAAGGCUCACCAAGGCGACGAUCAGUAGCUGGUCUGAGAGGAUGAUAAGCCACAUUGGGAAUGAGACACGGCCCAAACUGCGACGGGAGGCAGCAGUGGAGAAUAUUGCGGAAUGAGCGAAAACCUGACGCAGCCAUGCCGGGUGAAUGAGGAAGGGCUUAGGAUUGUAAAAUUCUUUCAGAGGGGACGAGAAUGACGGUACCCGGAGAAGAAGCCCCGGCUAACUUCGUG